ACUACCAAGCUUUAUUUGUCUCAUACAAGAGGUGCAAAAAGACAUUACAUCACUGUGUUCAUAUUAAUGAGAACGGCGUUACUGUGUAAAUAGACUUGUAGUCAUAGAUGACAUUUCUGGGCUACUGGUUAAUGCUAGCAGCUGUAUAUUUUAUAUUUAUGCUUUUAUAUUUGAAUCUAAAAUGAUAAAGAAAGAGUCCGGAAGUUACAUACACAAACAUGACCUUAGAAAAUCCUCAAAAUAUGAUAGGUAACAUUUCUAUUACACAUAAGCCUACUAUCUUUACACCACAGUCACAUCAAAUGUGACAAGUUAUGAAAACAAAUUCGAAGAGGAAUCACUUCUCUUCCCUUUGACGCUGCUGUUCCAUCAUUAAAGUUAACAUUUAACUUCUGACUUCCACGCUUUCUGUUGAAGUGAAACUGCUUCCUGAUUCCAGUCUUGAUAUCAGAUUAUACGCAAACACACACACAGAAACACACACAAAAAGCAGCCCUGUGUCUGUUUGAAACUCUCUGUUUCACUCAUGACUCAGCUUGUUGUGUUGAUUUUUUCCCCAGCAGCUUCACCUUGUUUUUGUUCUCUUUCCUCCUUUGCUUGCCUUUCUCAGGCUGCAUGACACAGCAGAUCUCAAGCUGCAGAGCAAGAUAACAUGUGACCUGUUUUCCCCGUCUUUGGCCUUGUUUGAUCACGUCGUUUUCAUUUCAGCUUGCCAUGCAAGUCAUUUUAUCACAUCCAGGCUUUUUUUGUCUUGUUGUUUCACCUCAAGUUUAUUGUCUUGUCAUAGUUUAUGAAAUCUGACUUCAUCUGUGUCAGUUUGACCUUUCAAACUGUAAUUUGUUAUCUUAACAAUUUGAAUUUAAGAUGGAAAAUCUGCCUUUUCUGUGCAUCACUUCCAUAAAUGAAAGAUAUCACUGAUGUGAACAAGCCUUUGACAGUUUUAAAAUUUCAAUAAACUCAGUUGUUUGGUCUUAGUUUUAGUCAUAGUUUCAAUUCUGUGUUUUGAACUUUGGCAUUAGGAUUACAAAUAGUACCUUAAAUUCCAUCACAUGACAUUUGAUCGUGCCUGAUCUUGCUUCAUCUCACGUUCUCAUUUCAUCAUUUCAUUUCUUAGUUCUUGUUCAUCUCUUUCACUUGAUGUUGUUUAAAUAAUAUUAUGUUGAAUCAUGAUUGAAUCUCAUUGCAUGCCAUUUGCCUACACCUCAUCCCUUCAGUUUCACCUAAUCUCUCCUCCUGUCAUCUGACCUUAUCUCACUCGUCUCAUUUCAUCUCACUUCAUGUAAGCAUAUUUUAAAUCUGUCACUUCUUCUAAUCAAUUUCAUAUUAUUUCUGACAUAACUUAUCUCACCCCCUGUCAUCUCUUCAUGUAUAUAGACACACCUUUCACCUUAUCUUAUAUCAUCUCCACAUUCAUCUGGUCUUCUCUUAUCUUUCAAUCCAUGUUGUUUCAGUCAUAUUUCAGUCUCAUAUUGCAUCCUCUCUGUCACAAUGAGUCAAGCAGGGGAUUUAUUAGGAAAAUCUGGGACUGGACCAAGACACAGAGGUACAGUUUGGCUGUGUGGCAAACUUACAGCAAGGUGGUGGCAAGCAAAUCUCCAAAACAGGCAAGCAGUCCACACAGGCAAACAAAUCCCAAAGGGAGCAGGCAAUAAAGAAAAUCCACAACAUCCGAAAGUAGGCAGAUUAUCCAAAGCACAGGAAAACACCGGAAUGGCAACAUCUUCAACUGCUUAUCCUGUCUACACGGUUGUGGUGGGGCUGGAGCCAAUCCCAGCUGACAUCUGGCAAAAGGCAGGGUACACCCUGGACAGGUCGCCAGUCCAUCGCAGGGCCACACAUAGACGGACAACCACUCACGCGCACACAAUUUAAGGUCACCAAUCAACCUAGGCCACAUGUCUUUAGACGGUGGGAGGAAGCCAGAGACACGGGGAGAACAUGCAAACGUGCAGAAAGGCCGGGGCAACCAGGGUUGGAACCCACGAGCCACUUGCUAUGAGGCAACAGUGUUAACCACUGGACCACCUCGCCGCCCACAAGGGGAAACACAUUGACUUAAAUACACAGUUGAGGGGAGGAUAACAAGGUGAAACUAAUUAGUGCAGGGCAGACAAUCAAAACUCUUUCCAAAUAAAACAACAAGCCCCAAAUCAAGACACUCAUUUCUUUCAGUAUUUCCUAUUUCUUCAAUUAGUGUUACAAAUCUUAUUAUCUCGUUCUUGUGCAUCGUCACAUCUCGUGACCCAAGUGUACCCUCACGCCGCUGAUCUGAGCCCUUAUGUCCCCACCACUUUUCAACACAAAGGGACACUCAUCUCAAAAAAUUUCUUCGUUCAUCUCAUCUUGUGCUUUCUUGUUCCAUGCAGUCUCAUCUCAUCUCACUUUUUCUUACAUUAUCUUUACUUUUCAUCCAAUCCAGUUCUAUUUUAUACCUCCUAAUGAUAGCUCAUCUAAACUCAUCAAUCACCUGCUUCACUCUGGUCUUCCAUUUCAUGUCAUCUUGUAUUUUACCAAUGUUAUCUUUCACUUCAUCUUGUCCAUGGUAUUGUCCUCUCUCAUCUUGGCUUAUCUUGUCAUACAUUGAGAAUCACCUCAUCUCAUCCCUCUAAAUUAGUCUUCAACUCUUGUGAAGCUUGAAUCUUGUUUCAAGUCUUCCUCUUUCUUUCUUUCAUUUCAAUUAAUUUUCUCAGCUGGUGUCACCUCAUUUACUCUUCCAUCUCAUCUCAUUGUUCAACAUGUCUAGUUUCAUAGUUUUUAUUUUGUCUCAUGUCAUCUUUCCCUCAUUUUGUCUCAUUUUGUCUCUUUUCUUCUAACCAUUUCUAAGUAAUUUAUUUCAUCUAGCUCGACCUCAUCUCAUUGUUCAUCUCAUCUCUUGAAAUAAAACCCUUCAAUCUUUAAUUUAAUGUAUAUAUAUAUUUUUUUUUCUAUUAACGCUCAACUCUUGUCACAUCAUCUCAGCUCAGAUCAAGUCACCAAAGAAUAAAAGCUGGAUUUGGGUGGUCUGGGUCAGUUUGAUCAACCAAAGGCCUCAGGUGAGAUGACAUCACCCCCCCGAUCAGUAGUGUGACCUCAGUCUGCAUCAUCAUGAAUUCCUAACGAGGGAUCUGACUGCAUCCAAUCAGCUGAGGCCUGGAUUAUCAGGUAAUGAAGCCUGACAGCACACAGCCAAUGACAUUUCAGCACACAGAUUACUGCCUGGUGGGGCUCAGAGGGAAUCAAUAAUGUAGACACACACGAACACACAUAGCUGCCCCGAGCCUGCCCUUACUACCAUUACAGUAAAUGACGAAGCCCACCGGCAGAUAGAGUACCGGAGAAAGGGAAGGAGAGACUGACUUACACACAAGUGAGGGAAUAAAAUAAAGAAAAAUGAGAGUGGAAUAUCACAGAGGACAGGAUGAUCUCAGCAUUUUGUGUAUGAUUCAGUGCCAGUAGCUGUGAGUCAACGCAGUAACAGCAAUGUAAAAUUGAUUGAGUCAGAUUAACACAUAAUGUUCACCUAUCUCUUACUGUUGAUAUCUGUAUCAGUUUUGUUGAUACUACAUACAGCAAUCUGAGCUGCUGGCUCAGUUCUCACACUGAUUAUUUAGUUUCAGGUAGUGUUAUUUUUUCCUGACCAGGUCUGGAGGCCAGUCAGGUUACUUGUAAGGAUUUGUAUAUUACAAGUACAGACAAUAGGAGAAGUGUUUUAGUAGAAGCCCAGUUGUAGCAGCAGUCUUCAUGUAAAUCCAUGUAUAAUGCUCUGUAGUAUAUUUUUAACUACGCAUGUUAUUCUACUUGUAGAUAUGCCAAACAUUGGUACUGCUAACUGUCUAGUUGUUUGUACAUUUAAUGUUCAGAAUUUUCUGUUUUACAGAAAAAUAUAGCAUUACAACUUAUUGUAGUAGCUAAACAGGCAGAAGCAGCAAUUUGAGCACUAGUAAUAUUCAUGGUCGUCACAACAAUAAUGGUACUAAAAGUAACAAUAGUAGUGCUAGUUGCAGUAGUAGUAGGGGUUGUCUUUAUAAUACUGACAACAGUAAACUUUAGUAAAAGUAGUUUUUCCUUUAUAGUAGUGGUAAUGGUUAUAGUGGUGGAAAUGAUAAAAGUUGUGUUAGAGGUACUAUUAGUACAGUAGCAGUUAUAGUAUCUGUAGUUGUGGUAGUAGUAUUAGUAGUGGAGAUUGUUAGGAGGGUGGUGUGGUGUGGUGUGGCGUAGGGACAGAGAGGAACCAAACGCAGCACUCUAAGCGAAGGAGGUUCAUUUAGGGAAAAAGGGGGUUGAGGGACUGGAGUGGAGGGAGAGGAAGAUGCCGGGGAAACGCUGGCACAGGAAAAUCGACGGGACGGGAACCAGGGAACACUGGGGCCGAGGAAGGGAGGACGCCGUGGGGGAAGCCCACAGAGGAGAGGUCCGGAGGACGAGCCCAGCCGACUGAACGGAGGACGAGGUGUUGAACGUGACUGUCCAGCAGAGCCUUGAUGGAAAACAGCCUGUCCGCACCCAGUUCCUCAGCAAAUAAAGGCCCGUUUUAUGGAUCAAAGCCUCCAUUCUGUAACUCUGCAUGAUUCAGCAUGUUUAUGUGGGGCUUCGGCUCUAUUUUGAGAGGCAAAAAUUAUUUCGUCAGCACGACGAGCCAGAUGACACGUUUCAUACCCAAGCAUCAGACAAUCAGCAGAGGAGUGACGUCGGUUUCAUCAUCUGUUGAGCAGAACGGAUCAUGAGGUCAUGAGGCUGCAGCUGACUGGCAGCACUGUGUUGAAACUCUGAGGAAACCGACUGGAGGUCAACAGAUCACACACACUCAGUGUUUCAGACCACACUGGUAUCAUGUGGCUGUUUGUUAACCAUCUGCCAGACAAAGUGUCUAUGCGUGCUCUUGUACUGUGCUCUUAGUGUGGACCGUGACAAUGAGGACUUUUCUGGAAAGUGAGGACAAUUUGUUUUCAAAGGUGUUGUUUGAGGGCUAGGACACGGGUUUAAGGGUUAAGCUUUUAGGUUGAGGCUGGGGAAUUAAUCAUUUCAACAGGGGUCCUCACAAACUGUGACAUUGUGGGGACUUUACUCCUGUUUAGGGACAAAAAAAGGUUAACUUUUAAUAUUUAGAAGGUUCAGACUUGGUUUUAGUGAAAUUUAAGAUAAUAAAUGUGUGAAUGCAUGAGUCUCAAAGGUCUGAACAUAAUAAAAAGCUGACCUCAGCAGCAGGAACUUUGUGCUUGUUUAACUUUUUCACGAUUUUAUUAUGUUUCGUAUGCAAAUCUUGGUUAAAAAUUAAACUCUAAGGGCUGAUAUGAAAAAUCAAAUCUAUUUCAUGGCAAAGUGCGACAAAUUUUAAUGUUGUUUGACUUAUAUUGACUUAUAGCUAUAUUUUAUUUAUCCGUAGGAGACUGAACAUGGAUUGAGAUCCUCUGGCAGAGGUUUUUUUUCCUGUUUUAAGGUCGAGAGCCAAGACCAUGGUGGAGAGUUAAAAUCUACAGAGGACAGAGCCUUCAGAGUCAGGGUCCACAAACUUUAAUCAGAGAGCUUAUUGUGAAUUUACUCAUGUAUUUUGCUUAAAUUUACUUGAAUUGUCUUUUUAUCUUUUUAUAUACUGGCAUUAAUUUUGCCUUGUUUUAGCUUUAAUCUGGUUCUGUUUGAUUUUUUUCUUUUACCUAUGAAGUUUCAUUUGUUGCCUAUGUGGGAAGCACUUUGUAACUUGUUUAUGAAAAGUGCAGCGUAUCACUAUGUAAAUAAGCUAUUAUUAAAGUUAUGUGUUAAGUUAAGUGUUCA